GGGCCCGCACAAGCGGUGGAGCAUGUGGUUUAAUUCGAUGCAACGCGAAGAACCUUACCUGGUCUUGACAUACACAGAAUCUUGUAGAGAUACGAGAGUGCCUUCGGGAAUUGUGAUACAGGUGCUGCAUGGCUGUCGUCAGCUCGUGUCGUGAGAUGUUGGGUUAAGUCCCGCAACGAGCGCAACCCUUGUCCUUAGUUACCAGCACUUCGGGUGGGAACUCUAAGGAUACUGCCAGUGACAAACUGGAGGAAGGCGGGGACGACGUCAAGUCAUCAUGGCCCUUACGACCAGGGCUACACACGUGCUACAAUGGCAGUGACAAUGGGUUAAUCCCCAAAAACUGUCUCAGUUCGGAUUGUCGUCUGCAACUCGACGGCAUGAAGGUGGAAUCGCUAGUAAUCG
rnacentral:rRNA from 1 species